rnacentral:RNase_P_RNA from 1 species
UGGAGUGGGCGCAUGAUCGCCGGUCCGUUCAGGCGGGCCGGAGGAAAGUCCGAACUUCGCAGGGCAUGGUGGUUCGUAACGCGAACCCCGGGUGACCGGGGGAAAGUGCCACAGAAAACAUACCGCCCCCGGCAACGGGGGUAAGGGUGAAAAGGCGAGGUAAGAGCUCACCGCUUCCAUGGUGACAUGGAAGGCAG